rfam:Bacillus sp. 2_A_57_CT2 genomic scaffold supercont1.1, whole genome shotgun sequence.
CACGAAGGAAAGCAGACUAAGAACGCCACGUCCUCCCAAAAGCUAACGCUUUCGGUCGUGCGAAGUAUCGCUUCCGUAGCUUUCCUUGUCCUGUGGCAACGUCUGCAUGACCUGCAUCCUGCGGG